UGAGAGAGAGAGAGAGAGAGAGAGAGAGAGAGAGAGUCAGGGACAGAGUGGGCUGUGGGAUUGGGAGGAAUAAAUCAUUGAAGACAGAGAUACAGACAGAGGGACAGAUAGAGACAGAGGGACAGAUAGAGACAGAGGGACAGAUACAGACAGAGGGACAGAUACAGACAGAGGGACAGAUACAGACAGAGGGACAGAUACAGACAGAGGGAAAGGACAGAGUGUGGGAUAGAAGUGAGAUUGGGUAACAGCUGGGGGGGUGGGAGGAACACAGACAGAUUUGGCUGAAAUUGGCAGUUGGGAGGGAGGGAAAUGCGAAUAAGAGGGAGGGACAGAGCAGAUAGUGGGUGAGACCCUCAUAGAGAAGGAAGGGCCUGGGGAGGGACACUGAUAGGGGGGAGGAGAAUUGGGGGUGGGAGGGAUUGAGGGGAAGGAGCAGAGUCGGGAGUGGGAGGGAAAUACUGAAGAAGGGAAGGGGGGUCGCUAGAAGUCCAGGGGCGCAGGGAGAGACAGAGUCAGAGCUGCAGGAGAGGAUCACGUUACACUUUUCUGUAUCUCCAGCCCCCGCUCCUGAUCUGCGCGACCCCUUAGCCCGACUCGGCCAGUAUCUUCUGCCUGAGGAUCUGUCCCUGGUGCUGAAAGCCGGGCCCGCCUGUAGCGCAGAGAGAAGAAGCCGCGACAUCUCUGGCCCAGAGACACAGUCGCACUGGAGGAGUCGGGAGUCAAGGGCAACGUGUCGGGGGCGCGGGUUUAGUGGCAGGAGAGUCCGAGGCUGAGUGUGAGGCACAGGCCGGGGCAGCUGCUCUCAAACUGACACCAACUCGGGCCUUGAACAACCUCCGAUCCACCAGCUGUUCCUUAAUAAUCAUCUCACAGUUCAUAGAAGGACCCCCCAUAAACCAAACACUGCAAGGACUCAAUAGGGAACCUCUUACUAGCAAGGACCCCCAGUCCAACUGUGACAAGUAGCUGAUUAACAGGAGAAGCCCCCAGGCCUCCAGGGACCAUACAAGAGACCCCCCCCAGGCUGGACACAAACUCAAAGCCCUUAGUUGGGACCCUCGUUAACAAGAGGAGAUCCAAACAAGAGUGAAGUUCAAAACCCCCUGCAUGGAUCUCAUUAGCAAUAACCAAACCAGGUAACCAGGUAAAGGUACAACUCCAAUCCCACAUUUAGGAUCCUUUUACACCCCAAGAUAAGCACCAGCUACUGACCAAGUGUGAGAUCACAGCUCUGCUUCUCUUUCCAUCCACCAGGAACUCCUCCAAGAUUAUCCUCACUGGAGAAACCCUGGUCUACAUAUACAAAGAGCAACAAUUAAAGGUAAUCCACUCUUUUGCGUUUCUACCUAUAAACUGAUAUAUACAGGGGGAGGGGGAAGCAGAUCCUCCAGCACCUUGACAUGUAAAGGAAUUCUCCAACAAGUAGCCCCAUUUAUAGGGUCCCAGUGACCAUUACUACAAACCUCUCUUGGUGUCCUAAUACCGGUCUCUGAAACCAGCAAGCUAAAACUUUCCUAGACGCAAUUAAAGGUCAAGCACACCAGUCUACAGAUACUUCCAAGCAUGGACCUCUGAUCAGAAAAGGCACCCAUCAGCCCUACAGAUGAACAAGGUCAACGUUGACCUAGAUACCAUCAUCUCCCUGUGGAAAUUAGCACCCUCACAGGUCCCCCCAUCAUCAACCAACUUCAUUGCCUACCUGGAGUCAAUUUAACAUUUGUUCAAACAGAGGUGUCUUCACCCACUGGCGUACAAUAAACCAAGCCAAUGAUGAUUCAUUUCCCUCCUGAUGCUUUCUAACAGGAUAUAAGGCUGACAACAGAUUCUUUGGAAACAGGGAGAGCAGAGCCGACUUGGAGAUGGCGGAAGCUUUUGUCUGCAUGAUGCCAUCAAUAGACCAGAUUUUAAUCACCCCGUCAACAUCCACACUAGCCACCCGGCACCCGGAGCAGUCGACCCUGCCAGAGAAAAAGCAAUAAUGUUAACGGCUGGCAAAAAAUCUACUUUAAAUGGAUGGUU